rnacentral:rRNA from 1 species
CGGAGGAAAAGAAACUAACAAGGAUUCCCCUAGUAGCGGCGAGCGAAGCGGGAAGAGCUCAAAUUUAUAAUCUGGCGCUUUCAGCGUCCGAGUUGUAAUCUCUAGAAGUGUUUUCCGCGUUGGACCGCACAUAAGUCUGUUGGAAUACAGCGGCACAGUGGUGAGACCCCCGUUCACGGUGCGGAUGCCCAAUGCUUUGUGAUACACUUUCGAAGAGUCGAGUUGUUUGGGAAUGCAGCUCAAAUUGGGUGGUAAAUUCCAUCUAAAGCUAAAUAUUGGCGAGAGACCGAUAGCGAACAAGUACCGUGAGGGAAAGAUGAAAAGCACUUUGGAAAGAGAGUUAACAGUACGUGAAAUUGUUGGAAGGGAAACGCUUGAAGUCAGACUUGCUAUUCGGGGCUUGCUCCGAGUUGCAGGCCAGCAUCAGUUUUUCGGGGCGGAAAAUCACGGAUUGAAGGUAGCAGUUUCGGCUGUGUUAUAGCUUUCCGUUGGAUACGUCCUGGGGGACUGAGGAACGCAGUGUGCUUUUAGCGAGGGCUUCGGCUCUUUCACACUUAGGAUGCUGGUGGAAUGGCUUUAAACGACCCGUCUUGAA